AGAGAUCCCAAACAGGCACAUUAUGAGCUUGAAUGCCAAUUCUGAUAGAGUUCUCUUCCAUUAUAAUGGACAUGGUGUACCAAAAUCAACUGUUAAUGGUGAAAUUUGGGUAUUCAAUAAGUCUGGAAUCAAUACAUUUUGGUACCAAUCGGUGGUAGUAGAUUGGCUUAGAGUGAUGCCUACUUGGUACUCAUCCAUUGUCAAUCUUCAACUAGACUCCGAAAAGGUAUUUUACUUUGAUUGUUUGUUAGAUUGCACUCUCACACUCAAAUUUUAGUUGGUUUUGCUGAAAGGAAAGCAUUAGUUACAAUAAUUGAGAGGACCCAUGGCGGUAAUGGACCCAUGGUAAUCGGGUCCCCGAUUGAUACAUUGUUAAGCUUACUCAUUUUCGUUGUUAUUUUUUCUCAUUUGACAAUGCUAUUGUCUAUUAAAAAGAGAAACCAUUGUGUGAUAGUGUAUGUGUGCAGACAAGUGGAGUGAGAUCAACCGUUGACGCUAAGCUAAGAUAAGUUCUAUAGUAAUUUCUAUUUUUGUUUCCUUUUUUUUUCAACUCUCCAUUUCCAACCAUACGCACUAUCAAUCUAAUUUGUCAUUACAUAUAUAAAUGAGGGAUUUUAAUCUCUAAUUUGAUCAUUUUAUUUCAUGUGAUGUUUGUUAUUUCUUUAUGAUUUUGGGGUUCUCAUGUAGAGAGUUGUACUAAAUAUAAUAUUUAUGCUGCCAAUUGGCAGCUUGACAAUAGGACGGAGUUAGUUGCUUGAAGUUAGUUGCUUUUGUUGAGUCGAUUUUUGGAUUCUAGGAUUUUGUCAAAGAUCAUUUACUCCAAGUGGGUAGAUCAAGUACUACUAGGAGUACAUCCUCCUUAUUGUUCCUUUGCCAGGAGAAAAUGUAGUAUUACCCGUAAAUUGAGACAACUCUUUCUAAAAGCUGGUUAAUGUUUUAAACUUGGUCCCUAAACAUAAUGAUAAUCUCUUUGUUCUUUGUGUUAUUUAUUCUAAUUUUAUAUUUCUAUUAUGGUUUCAAUAUCUUAGUUUUCGUAGGACAUAGCAUUAGAACAAUAUUUUCUAAUUAAUAUCAGAGAUACAUUUCAUUUUAAGGGCUCAGAUCAAUCCUAAUUAAUAUCUCACGGUUGACAUCAAUUUUCUUCCCGCUCAAACACUCUCUCCCUCUCCCACCUACCCAUGUCUCCUUCCCCAUUCCCUCUUUAUCUCUCUCUCCCUCUCUCUAUCUCUCCCUCUCUGUUACACGUCUCCUUCCAUUCCCUCUUUGUCUCUCUCUCUCUCCCUCUCUGUUCUUCUUUCCUACCCUCCCUCUUGAGCUCGAUUUCUGCCUCUCCCCCCCUUCUCUCUCAAUGGCUUCCAGUCGCAUCCCUCCCACUCGCAAGGUAGGGUUUCCGAUUGUGAAUUGCGACACUGUGCUUUGAUUGGGUCAUCGAAGGCUAGGGUUUCCACCACCACAACCACCGUCAUCAUCAUCAACUUCCUCAAAUUCUACAUUGACACCGCUGUCUUCUUUUUCUCUCUCUGCUUCGAACCCCCAUGGGAGCUCUCCGAUACCUCUCUCUCUCUCUCUCUCUCUCUCUCUCAAUGCUUCUUUAUGCUUCAAGUAAAUCGAUGUUUGUUGGUGGAAUUGAGGUAAUGGUUUAAAUCGAUGUUUUUGUUUAUCAUCGUUUCUGUUUCUGGUUUAUUGUUGGGUGGUUGCCUAUUUUGUGGUUCAUGGUUUAUUGUUUGGUGGUUGCCUAAUUAGAACUAUGGCAGAAAUUAUUGGUUUAUUUAUUUUUAUUUUUUUUAAAAAAAAUUUGUCAAAUGAUGUUUUUAUUGUGUGCAAAGGGUUUGAAGAGAACAAUGAACACUGAUUGUUUCUCUUUUUAAUUAUUUGUUUUUAUUGACUGAUUAAUAACACAUUUUGUAUAAUAGUUAGUAUAGAUUAUAUUCUGUGGAUUGGGGCAUAGAUACAUACAAAGAAGAUUUUAGAUCAAGUGGUAGAGCCAACUUGCUUUGGUUGAGUCAUCCUCCAUGUGGUCUGUUUUGUUUGCAGAAAUGAUCAUGUUUUUGUAUAUUUCAAGGUUUGCUAGAUCACAAAUUGGGCUACAUAGUAUAUGAUAAUAUGUGAGUUAUUUACACGGACAUCUCUAAAUUAUUAGAAAAUAUUAAUUUUAUUUUGAUUUUAUUAGUUUCUUCUCUAUGUACAGAAAAGCAUUAGCUAAUGCAUUACUUUUGUCCAUUCUCUCUCUUCGGAAAACUCUUCAACUUAUAUUCUCAUACGCAUUUUCAUUUCAGUAGAAAUUAACUUCAAAUUUUGUGGAUUGGGGCAUAGAUACAUACAAAGAAGAUUUGAGAUCAAUUGGUGGAGCCAACUUGCUCUGGUUGAGUCAUCCUCCAUGUUUGUUGGUGGAAUUGAGGGAUCUCUCUUUCAACAACUUUACCAGUGAUCUUCCCAGUUCAUUUAUUGCAUUGACCAAUAUUUCUACUCUAUGAGU